rnacentral:rRNA from 1 species
AGGCCCUUUCGGGGGUACUCGAGUGGCGAACGGGUGAGUAACACGUGGGUGAUCUGCCCUGCACUUUGGGAUAAGCCUGGGAAACUGGGUCUAAUACCGAAUAGGACUACGCGAUGCAUGUCGUGUGGUGGAAAGCUUUUGCGGUGUGGGAUGGGCCCGCGGCCUAUCAGCUUGUUGGUGGGGUGAUGGCCUACCAAGGCGACGACGGGUAGCCGGCCUGAGAGGGUGUCCGGCCACACUGGGACUGAGAUACGGCCCAGACUCCUACGGGAGGCAGCAGUGGGGAAUAUUGCACAAUGGGCGCAAGCCUGAUGCAGCGACGCCGCGUGAGGGAUGACGGCCUUCGGGUUGUAAACCUCUUUCAGUGCCGACGAAGCGUAAGUGACGGUAGGCGUAGAAGAAGCACCGGCCAACUACGUGCCAGCAGCCGCGGUAAUACGUAGGGUGCGAGCGUUGUCCGGAAUUACUGGGCGUAAAGAGCUCGUAGGUGGUUUGUCGCGUUGUUCGUGAAAACUCACAACUCAAUUGUGGGCGUGCGGGCGAUACGGGCAGACUGGAGUACUGCAGGGGAGACUGGAAUUCCUGGUGUAGCGGUGGAAUGCGCAGAUAUCAGGAGGAACACCGGUGGCGAAGGCGGGUCUCUGGGCAGUAACUGACGCUGAGGAGCGAAAGCGUGGGGAGCGAACAGGAUUAGAUACCCUGGUAGUCCACGCCGUAAACGGUGGGUACUAGGUGUGGGUUUCCUUCCUUGGGAUCCGUGCCGUAGCUAACGCAUUAAGUACCCCGCCUGGGGAGUACGGCCGCAA